AAAAAGCUCAUCCAGCCUUAAAGGAGGAGUCAUGACGCGUGCUGGACCCAGAAGACAGCAAGAGAUAGAGCAGCGCUCGUCUCCGGCUCCUCUUCCGGAUCCAUGAGAUCCCCGGGACCUGAGACGGCUAGCUGCCCCGGCAGCGGCUGGCCCAUAUCCGCGAGGCUCUGAAACCCAAUUUGCUUCGGCUUCCGAGAAGAGAGCGAGUCGCGAGCAGAGCUACCAGGCGUUACAAUGUGCAGCCUCUUGAGCCUCUUGCUCCAACCUAGACAGUUUACACAGAAAGUGUGCACUACUCCCCGUGAUGAAACGGGAGCAAGCCAUAACACACUUCCUGAAUUCUCCCACUCAUAUUUUUCUCUCUCACGCAUUCCUUUUUUUUCUUCUCUUUUUUUAAAGUGAUAGAAAAGUUCUGAGAUUUUGAGAAAAGAUAGAGAGGAAAUGAACAGUCUUUUGUUUCUAUACACAAACAUCCGACAUGCAGUCUGGCUGAAGAUAAUAAGGUUGACGGCGUGGUUCACACGUGCCAUAUUUAUGCCACAUGACGCACUUAAUUGCCACAUCACCUGUUCAUGGCAGGCCUAUAAUUAGAGGCAUGAUUUUACACAAGCUUCAGAUGCCGGUCGUGUGCGCAAGGGCGCUCCCAUACUGUUAUGCUAAACGUAACGUCGAGUUCCCUUUGAAAGGAAACAGGUAUGAACUGUCAGAAAUGGAGACAUAGCUAGCUUCACUAGUUGGAUAUAGCAUGAGAAUACUCACUCUCAAAGUUAUCAAUGUAACUCGAAAUAUAUAAUUUGAAACCCUUCUCCUUACUCUUGGGUGUAACAGCUGACUGCCUCGCAAUACAAUUAAUUCAUUCAUGGUAAUCUGGGGAAGCUCUUGUAAACAGCGAGUGUAAUAUGUCAUAUACUCCUACACCAUCUUCACACAGUUAUCUCCAAUAGAGAAAAUGGCUUCCAGCGCAGCACUGGAUGUAACUGAGCUGGCUGAGACAAAACGCAGAAGCAGUCGUGCAUCGAAUCCAUUCAGUACUCACACAAUGAGGUGGCUUUCUAUGUGCAUGCACAGAAAUCCCCCUGGUCAGGCAGGUAGACAUUCGUUAAUUUCUUGUUAUCAUAAUUUUAUGUUGUUAUUUAUUUUUUUUAUCUUUCUUUUCAUGUUACACAUGACACAGACUCGAGUACACUCUGAAAAAUGUCCAAAAUGUCAGAGUCCAUGUCAAGUUCGAGUACAAAUUUACCAGAGUGUGUGACAAUACAAAAUAGCCUUCUCUUAUCAUGUACAAAAGCACAUAAGCUGAAUGAGAAAACACAGUUACUCUUUGACAAUUUAAGUGUCUGGAAAUGGCAGACUUCAAUUAAAUUACAUGAACAAAUAAGUCAAAAUAUUUACAAAACCUCUUCUUGGACCACUCAACUUAUUAACGUCCAAGUUCUUUAUGACUUUGUAUGUUACUCCUUAAAUUUUGUGAAUCUUCUUAUGUCUUAUAUAUGUGUGUAUAGUGCAUGUUUUCGGCCUGCCAACUGCCCUUACUCCUCUUGACCAAUCAGAGAAUUUCUGUAUGCGAUCCAAUAAUGAUCUGCUCUCCUCCGCCUAAGUGUCGCACACAAGAACCUUGCGAAGUCAUCUUCUGUAAUCUUCUGUAAUGUGAUGUACAG
ensembl:lncRNA